GACGAACGCUGGCGGCGUGCUUAACACAUGCAAGUCGAGCGGUAAGGCCCUUUCGGGGGUACACGAGCGGCGAACGGGUGAGUAACACGUGGGUGACCUGCCCUCAGCUCUGGGAUAAGCCUGGGAAACCGGGUCUAAUACUGGAUAUGACUCCAUGACGCAUGUUGUGGGGUGGAAAGCCUUGUGCGGCUGAGGAUGGGCCCGCGGCCUAUCAGCUUGUUGGUGGGGGAUGGCCUACCAAGGCGACGACGGGUAGCCGGCCUGAGAGGGCGACCGGCCACACUGGGACUGAGACACGGCCCAGACUCCUACGGGAGGCAGCAGUGGGGAAUCUUGCGCAAUGGGCGAAAGCCUGACGCAGCGACGCCGCGUGAGGGAUGACGGCC
rnacentral:rRNA from 1 species